rnacentral:rRNA from 1 species
GAUCAUGGCUCAGGAUGAACGCUAGCUACAGGCUUAACACAUGCAAGUCGAGGGGCAGCAUGGUCUUAGCUUGCUAAGGCCGAUGGCGACCGGCGCACGGGUGAGUAACACGUAUCCAACCUGCCGUCUACUCUUGGGCAGCCUUCUGAAAGGAAGAUUAAUACAAGAUGGCAUCAUGAGUCCGCAUGUUCNCAUGAUUAAAGGUAUUCCGGUAGACGAUGGGGA